AGCAUGUUGGCGCAGCGAGCGCGCGCCGGGCUCAUAUCCUUGAGUUCCUUGGAUCGAGACCAAGAUAUGCUG